UCAAAAAUAUCUUAAUUUGUGUUCUGAAGAUGAACGAAGGUCUUACGGGUGUGGAAGGUCAUAAGGGUAAGCAAUUACUGACAGAAUUUUCAUUUCUGGGUGAACUAACCCUUUAAGUCUGAGUUUUGUUGUUUUAAUGCAUCCAUUAUUGUUGUUGUUGAAACAGUUGAGAAUUGUGCAAAUGAGAUCACUUAUGCUGAGCCCGUGUUCUACAAAAGAAAAGCACAUACAUCGGAUGAGUAGCAACACCUGUUGUUAAUCAGCACUCCUGAGUGUCACCCUUUGCUGAUUUGCUCUUGCGACUGCGUGCUCUGCCAUAAAAGCCGUCCAGUUUUCCAAUGCUGCAGAGGCAGGAGUUUUCCAUCCGUCUCUCUUGCAAAGAGUCCCUGUUGCCGACGUGUGUUUUAUUUCCCUUUUAUAUAUUACUGGUCUGUGAGAUUAGUGCAGGUGAGAUGUUGUUGUUUUUUAUUGUUAAAGGACUCUUUUCACUUAAAGGUGGGAUCAGUAGAUUUUGAAAAACGCUGUUGGACAUUGUUGAUAUUUGAAAUCAACCCAAACAAACCCACCCCUCUCUUCAUUGCUCCGCCUCCUAAACUCACACUCCAAUCCUAACCACCCUACUUUGAGUCGGUCUCGAACACCGGCCCGAUCGCUGCUGGCAGACGAGGCGAGUGCACUAACAAUGACGCUAAACACCUCAUUCUCUAGUAGUCAUCAGUGCGCAGUGGUUUACCUGCUUAACUCUCACUAGCUGGCCACUGUUACACAUGCAAUGCUAGUGGAUGUCUGUUUAUCACAGCUGACGUGCAACAAAAUGCUUCAAGAAAAAUAAAGCGUAGUUGAUAAACGAACGACAAGGAAGCACAAUAAAUGAACAUACAGUACACAAGAGUAAAUACAAUGUUUUUGUUGUUAGUCGCCAACAGCACAGCAGCUCCAGACAUCAAAACCCAGUGUACUCAGACAAGCAAAGUUAAAAGAUGAUCAGGUGGUGCUGGUUAUGUUUUCACAUAAUCAUUAUUUGAUGUGAAUCACUGAACUCAUUUAGAGCCAAUCUCUGAGUUAGAUUUAUAUUAUUGAUUACAGCAGCACUGUGAUUCUACAGCAGAAGACCAACUUUAUUGAUAUAAUCCAACAGAUUUCUUAAAAGUUGUUCUGAUCAACAACAAAAAAAAAAAAUUUGUUUUAGGCACACACAGACAUCAAGAAUCAGCCUGUGAAUCUCAACAACGGUGACAAGCAACAUAUUCUGAUAAACAGAUCAACUCUGAACAUUGGAAAACAAGCUACUAAAAAGUCACAUAAAAACUGCAAAAAAUAAAAUCGUUAGAAUAAAGAAAAUUACUAAGACAAUUAAAUUCAUAAUUUAUUCAUGCAGCAAUGCAUGAUGGGAGCCGUGGAUGAAUUUUGAUUGGUGGCACCCAGAAUGCACUGCAACAUGCUUUUUGACAGUCACCACUGUUGAGAUUCAUACACUGAUUCUUGAUGUCUGUGUGUCUAAAUGAAAGUGAUUUUUUUUUUUACUUUUUUUUUUUUUUAGAACAACUUUUGAUAAAACAUUUGGAUCAUUUUGAAAAAGCUGGUCUUCUGCUGUAGAAUCACAGUGCUGCUGUAAUCAAUAAUGUAAAUCUAACUCAGAGAUUGGGCUCUAAAUGAGUUCAGUGAUUCAGAUCAAAUAAUGAUUAUGUGAAAACAUAACCAACACCACCUAAUCAUCUUUCCUCUUUGCUUGUCUGGCUGUUAUAACUCAGUUACAGCAGCCAAACAAAAUCUAGUAUUAAAAAGUCAAGGGUCAAGAGCCCAACUAAAGCAAACCCUGACCUCUGUGAUGGUUUCUUAAAAAUUGUGAAUUUCUCCUUUGGUGAUUCUGCUUGUUAACAUCAGGUGUCUUCAAUAAUGGUCAAUCAUCACUCAAUUAAACACUUAUCUCAUACUUUCUGACCCCUGGACUUUCCACCUCUGGUUACACAUUUGUUGUUGGUGUCGGCCCGACUAACUUCCAAACAGUGUUUUUGAAAUUCUACUGACUCCACCUUUAACCCCUGAGUGCAGGGCAAGUUGUUUCAUGUUUUGUUUCAUUAUUUUCUCAAUACUUUGUUUUAAUUUAAGGAAGCUGUAGGGAGGUGGGUGCCAUUUAUUUUUAUGUAUUUUUUUCUCCUGUUUAUAGAUAGAGAGGGAGAUAGGUUUAGAAUUGCCUUUUUUGCAUCGUUAUUUUGUGCUUCGGUUAUUUAGUUUACUAAAAUAGACUUAUUUUUGUUUAUUAUUUUGGCCAUUGCCCCCUCCUGAAUUCAGUUGCUUCCAUGUAAGAUCUUUUGUUUUCUUUGUUACCGUUUUUUCUUAUGUUUCAUUAAUAAAUCAUUUUUUGCUUGAUUUGUAAAA